ACCCGCUGAACUUAAGCAUAUCAAUAAGCGGAGGAAAAGAAACCAACAGGGAUUGCCCUAGUAACGGCGAGUGAAGCGGCAACAGCUCAAAUUUGAAAUCUGGCUCUUUUAGAGUCCGAGUUGUAAUUUGCAGAGGGCGCUUUGGCUUUGGCAGCGGUCCAAGUUCCUUGGAACAGGACGUCACAGAGGGUGAGAAUCCCGUACGUGGUCGCUGGCUAUUGCCGUGUAAAGCCCCUUCGACGAGUCGAGUUGUUUGGGAAUGCAGCUCAAAAUGGGUGGUAAAUUCCAUCUAAAGCUAAAUAUUGGCGAGAGACCGAUAGCGAACAAGUACCGUGAGGGAAAGAUGAAAAGAACUUUGGAAAGAGAGUUAAACAGUACGUGAAAUUGUUGAAAGGGAAACGCUUGAAGUCAGUCACGUUGUCCGGGGAUCAACCUUCUCUUGAGUUGGAUCACUUCCUGGUUGACGGGUCAGCAUCAAUUUUGAUUGUUGGAUAAAGGUUAGGGGAAUGUGGCAUCUUCGGAUGUGUUAUAGCCCUUGAUCACAUACAACGGUUGGGAUUGAGGAACUCAGCACGCCGCAAGGCCGGGGUUUUACCCACGUACGUGCUUAGGAUGCUGGCAUAAUGGCUUU
rnacentral:rRNA from 1 species